CAGUCGCCGCGGUAAUACGUAGGGUGCGAGCGUUAAUCGGAAUUACUGGGCGUAAAGCGUGCGCAGGCGGUUGUGUAAGACAGGUGUGAAAUCCCCGGGCUUAACCUGGGAACUGCAUUUGUGACUGGCAAGCUAGAGUGUGGCAGAGGGGGGUGGAAUUCCGCGUGUAGCAGUGAAAUGCGUAGAUAUGCGGAGGAACACCGAUGGCGAAGGCAGCCCCCUGGGACAACACUGACGCUGAGGCACGAAAGCGUGGGGAGCAAACAGGAUUAGAUACCCCCGUAGUCCCUGUCUCUUAUAC
rnacentral:rRNA from 1 species